rnacentral:tRNA from 1 species
GAUAGGGUGGCUGAGGCUAGGCGAUAGAUUGUAAAUCUAUAAACGAGAAUGAACUCCCCGAUCA